UCAGUUUACUGUUUACUAUGAAUCAGCUAACUUGUUUGUUUCUGCCCCAAAGACCACUGCUGUAGGGCACUGUGACCAUCGGCGCCUGGAAUGACGAACCCUCUGCUCAGAAGGGAUGCUCCCGUCAGCACAGCUCACAGUCCCGAGGAGCUGACACCCUCUGUUUCUGCCAGGUGCAUCUGCGCUCCACAGAAGCUCUAGAAACUCCAGCUCUGACAAAGAUUGUAACGAGAGGAGACUGAGCAGGAAAAAGAUGGUUCACUUAGCAGGACAGAGUGGGAACUACGACUGAAGACAAAGAAUAGUCUUUAUUCCGCCGGGAGACCCCACAUGUGCUCUGCUGCAUUGUGACGGAGAUACGGGGUCAGAGGCACAGCACACGUGGGCCAGAAGGAAAGGCUCUGAAGCUCACAGGGAGCGGCAGGCCCCCGCUAGAAGAUGAGGCUCUGUUCGGUGCUGGCUCCUCCAACCCCCCCUCACACAGGCCAAGGACGGCCUCACGCCAGCCGGUGGGAGGGUCCUGCGGACAUUCUGAGGGGCACGCCCGGCCUAUGGAUAAGGGCUCCAGCCCAGAAGCAGCUGAUUUUAAGCACAAACCCUGCAGAGCAUCUUUGGGGUCUGUGAGCACCCGUGUCUUAACCAACAACAAAAACAUGUUGUAGUUAUGGGUUUCUUCCAGAAACUGAUGUUUCCUGAAAAGGCCCUGUGUCCGCCAGUGAGGAAAUAGUGAUGAACUAAAACUUUUAUUUUAAAAAACAAAAAUCAAAGCAGAGGGUUCAAAUGCGGCUCUGGAUAGCCCGUGGCCCCUCUGAGGGCGAGGAUCCCGCCCUGUGCUGCCCAGAUGCAUAACAGGAGGCUAAUGAGAACCGGGCUUAUGAAUAAAAGAAGCGAUGACUUCCAGGCGUGUGAGAGGAAUGCUAAGUCUCUCCAGCACCUCACAGCCUUUAAAGCAAAGCCACGCUCGUUAAUGACUCUAAUGAUUUUUUCCUCCUCUGCCAUGUACGAUCCUUUCAGUUUUAGGAAAGUAUUGGUGCAUGCUUGUUAGAGAGAGAAGCCUUUGAAAUCCAUCCAGCUCUGCUCCACAUCUGAGCCACUUAGAAUGGAAGGCUGAUUAAUGUUGGAGGCAACUCCAGUAAAAAGAAUUUUGGCUGAACUGUCUACCCUACUUUCAAUUCUUAACACUCCACGUCAGACUGAGUGUGCUCAUUUUGAAUUUGUACGUGAGGAAGAGGAGAAUGCUCUGGAGGGUCAAAGGAAGGAGCAAUUAUCUGUCAGAAGACACAUUCGUGUCACCCGGGGACUCCGGACAUGCCUGUCAUCUCAAGGCUCGCUUCUAACAAUUUGAUUUAUUUCCAUUGUGAAGAGAAAUCCUGUGGAACACUAAAAUCGCCAUCAUUUUUAAGUUGUGGUAUUACAGCCAUCUCCAUCAAAAACCCAUUAGAAGGGUCAUAAUGUAACACGUGUUACUAUAAGGGAUAGAAAUUGGGAGAUUUCUCAGAGGAGGAAGGCCCAGGGAUUUGGAGAGUCGGUGAGUGAGGGGGAGCAGAGAAGACCGAAGUGUCCCAUCUCCCAGCCUCCGUCACCCCACAGCCCUUCCUGGGCCCCAGUCCCUCACAUUGCAGCCCCACCGCCAGCUCCUCCAGCUGAGCAGGUCCGUCUCCUCUCGGGCCCUCCACGAGUGGGCCAGGCAGGCAGUCCAGCCUCCGCAGGCACGGGGGCGGCCCCUUCCUUGCCCUCCUCCCCACCUCUGCUUGCUGCAGCCCUGGCUCCAGCUGGGCCGGGUGCAGCCGUUGCUUAUACUCUGCUGAGACUCAGAAGCCCCCAAAAGCUGCUCUGGCCAGUGGACCUGCGCUCCGACUUCAGGCACAUUGACAGCUGGGUGGUGAGGAGUUGGCCUCUGGACUCACACUCGACCCUUCUGACCUGUGUGACUGGGGACAAGUCACUUGGCCUGCCCAGGCCUCAGUUUCCUGGAAAGACAAAUGGUCGCACUGGCCUUUGCUCAGCUCAUGGACCUCCAUGGCUCCCUUGUCCCUCGGACAGAAGGAGUGGCCCUGGGAAGGGAGGGGUUCAGGCCUGAGGAGUGCAGGGUCUGAGCCCCUCCUCUGGGCUGGGGCUCACGCUCCCCCGCGCGCUCCUUCCCCUCCAGACACCCCGCCCAGGAGUAAAGGCUCUGCGCCGUGCUGAUGAGCAGUGCUCUCAGCAAAUCCACUCCAAAGAUCAUCUUUGAAUCCUGCCCAACAGGGAAAGUGGAGCCAAGACCAGAUGUCAGCGAGCGAGGCACACAGCCUGCGCCGCCUGGCCCUGCCAGAACCUCCCCCAGGCACCCAUCAGAGAGGAUGACUGUGGCCACAGCGCCCAGGCUCAUGUGCUGGUCAAGCGAGGCAGCUGGAGCUGCGGCUCAGUGUUUGGAUACUCUGUUGUCACGGAAAUGAGGAUGGCUCGGUUUCUCAUGUGGGGUUCAGGCUGAGACAGCUCCUGGCCAUGGUCCCUGUACAAGGUGCACUGUGAGCAUGCGGGCAGGUGGACCUUGUUAGGGUCACACGUAACCACAGACCUCCGGAGGCCACCGCGUCCAUCAUCAGAGUACAGCCACAGGGGCCCAUAGGCCCCUCUUUCCACUUCCUCUCUCUUCCUGUCUUCUCUUCUCUCUAGUUUCCAUCCUUCUUCUCUCCCUCCCUUCUCUCCUUUCUUUCUUCAGCUCUUUCUCAUGUCUGUUCUGUCUCUCCUUCCUUUCUCUCUCUCUCUUCCUUUCUUUUUCACAUCCGUUGAUGCUUCCGUUUAUUUGCUGAUUUAAUCAGCCUUUUAUUCAUUCAUUCACGCAUUUACUCAUGCUCUGUCCAUUUCUUCACUCAUCAAGAUACUCAAGCUUUUAUUCCUUAUCCGUACGUAACUGAGCAUGCACUCCAGAGUGCAUGGUGGGCUCUGGCCGGGCACCCCUGGCAGUGACUUCACGCUGGGUAACCAUAUGGGUCCCCAGAGCCCCUUUCCAGGCCUUCCGGACUGACUGCCCUUUGUGGGCAGUUUGCUGGGGCUCACCUUGUCAUCAGUGUUUUAGGUGUUUGAAAUGGUGACUUUCCUAGAUGAAACCAUUUCCCAGCAAGAUCGGGAGUCUCACGUCCUUCCUUCACCCAGGAAGUGCUGGUUUUGAAGCCUUUCACAGCCCGCCUACGCCCCGAGAACUGCCCGGUUUGCAUCUGCCGCCUCCUGCCCAGCGCCCAGCAUGGCUCCAGUGGCUCCACUCAGCAGAGGAAAGGGGACCUCAGCCCAGGGCCCUCGUGAGGACUGAAGCAGACCCUGCAAGACUUUGUUCCCAUGCUCGGCACUUACAUUUGUGUUUAGGUGCAAAUCCAAAUGAGGACAAUUCAACUAAUUAAUGCCUCUAAAUUUAGGUUUUACUAAGUAUUUGUAAACAUGUCUCAACUCCAAGGCCCCAGAGCCCAGAAUCUUUAAUGGUUAACUUGAAAAUACACUUUUCUUUGGCAAUGGCCACGGCACUCUGGGCCAGCGUGGAGUCCAGGCGAGGAAGGGACUUUUCCUGGGGCACUCAGGCCCGGGGGACCAAGGGCUCCUUCCACAAGAGGACAAGCCGCACACCAGGAGAACCGCCCUCUGACUGAGCCUACCUGGCGUCACCCUCUGGGUACAGCAGAGAUGCUGCCCACCCCCUGGUCGUAGUGUCUGUUUGGUGCAGUGGGCAGUAGGACACAGCUUUCUGGAAGGUUCACCAGGGUAAACAUGGGUACUGCUGCAAUCUACAUGCACCUGCCUCCUUUCUUCACAUGUCCUAUCCCAAAUUACAGCUUAAAACAGCAAAAGAAAUUGUGAAAUGGGAAACAUUUGAUCUAAGAGAAAGAUCCAAGUGUUUACCUUUGUUGCACGGGUGUCCAAUUACAGCAUCAUCAGAAAGCAAGCCGUAAACCACUGACUGUGAUUUCAAAAAGAUUGCCAAAACCACUGGUUUCCUUCAGAAUCGUGUCUUAUUUAUAAGAGGAGCAGGCAAGAGGCCCCAUUUAUUACGCUGUUAUAUAAGAAGUAGGCAAAACUCUUCCCUUUUAUUAUCUGAUGUAUUGAAGUCACCCAAGAGUGUUUUUUCUAGGAUGUUAAAAAUAUGUUGCAACUCUCCUGAUCUAUGACUUCAGCAGAGAGAAAUGCUAACAAGAUACUUUUAAUCAAAAGGCAGCUUAAAAUGCAGUAAAUUUCACAAUGGAGAAGCGAUAGUUGCUGUAGAAUUGCUUUCAGAGUAUGCUGUGGGCACAAACCAAGUGUGAAUUAUGAUGUAUAAGAUACACAUGUUGUUUUACCCUAAAAGUUCAUCCCUUAAGAGCAGAAUUUCGCAGAUUCCUGUAGCCAGGGAAUGAGUGGCAAUGGGGGACUGGAGCUGCAUGCACCCCAACUCAGGGAGGAGAUCUCGGAGGAGCCCCUCCAGGCCAGCUGCCGCCUACACGUGAGCCAUCGAUCAGGAAGGGAGGCAGGAUUCCCAGACACCAGGUUACGAGGCGGCGCUGCGUGUAGUAGCAAUGCUGUGAGUCUAUGGCUGAGGGUGGUCCGAGGGGUGCACGCCUCUCAAAGCGGUUAUGACUGCUCAGCACAUCUGCUGUUCUCCUGUUUAAGGGAUGGGGAUGGGCCCAAGGUUGGAGCCUGACUUGGAUCCUCCCCCGGGCAUUCUUGCUCACCUGAUCCAAAGCUCCAGCCUUGGACACAAUUAGCUCUUAAUUCCACCUGCAGGGCUAGUUCAUGGCUGUGAUGUGUGCAGUGGAACAGGGGUCUGUGCUCAGACGGGCCCACAACUGGUCUAAUGCUCUUUUGCUGUCAUCUUGGAAGUCUUGACAACUUUUGAACAAAGGACCCCACGUUGUCAUUUUGCACUGGGCCCCAGAAUUAUGUAGCUGGCUGCUCCCUGUCCUCACUGGGCCCAACCGUAUGCCCUUGACCAGGUAUUCUGCUGUGUUCGUAGAUGCAAUUUGUUUCUUGUGUCAGAAACACUCUUUCCUCGCGUACCCAAUAUCACCUAAUCAACUAAAAUGUCAUCUGUCACUGGAUAUUUUCAGUCCCUCAUGCCCUACACACAGCCAGAAGAGGGUCAGGUAAGACACUGUGGCCUUGGGAAGAGGAGCUGAGUCACCCAUGCUGACUGAGAGGGAAAGAAGGAAGAAGGGAAGGGAAAAGGGAGGAGAGGAGGAGAGGAGAGAGGAAGGGAGGGAGCUGACUUUCUCUCUUCUCACUGUCUGGCUCCUUCUGAUGCCUGCCCUUGGCUAAACUCACAAGGAAGCCACAUACGUCUGCCUCUAGUGAUGGAAGCAGUGUGCACCGCCACGUGACAGAUGGGAGGUGGGGGCAGAGAAGGAGGGGAGAAAUGACGCCCAGGUUUCUGGUUUCAGUAACCAGGUAAACAGUGAUGGAGGGGGGAACAGGGAGUGAGGUAGGGCUAAGGGGAAGAGAUGAGGGGUUGGGUUUUGCACACCCUGAAAUUAGGUUCAUCCUGAGAUUAGUUUGGUAUCCAGGUGGAGCCGUCAGGCAAGCUCUCCUAAGAAGACAUGGGUGUCCGAAAGGUUUCCUUUUGGAGUUGUAAUACGAAAAAGGAAAGAACCAUGCUUAAAUGAAUAAGCUUGAGUUAUAGGGAAAGAGCUUUAGUUCUCUGGAAAAUUCACAUGCAUGGACUAGUUUAUUCUUUGACUUCUUGGUGCAGUCAUUCCAGCGGCCCUCGACAAGGGCUCGGUGUGUGCCCAGCACUGUGCAAAGUGAUGGGGAUCCGGAGGUGCACCCGUGGUCUGGAGGAGUGGACGGAGCGGUUCAGAGCCCCGCGUGAGCAGGGCUGCCCACGCUGCUGCAGAGUUUUCCCCAGUAUCUGCCUAUGGAGCCCGUGACUCCCAUGACUGAUCAUCAGCCUGAGUCUGAUCCGCACACAUCGAGCUCUAAUAUAAUUCCUUAUAUUAAAAACAAAUGCAGCCAAUUUCAUCACUUGAAGUUCAACUUUAAAUUGGAAAAGUUUAAUGUCUCUAGUCGAUCAGACCCAGUGCAGGAGGAAAAAUCUGUCAUUGAAAAGUUCCAGGUGCAGCCUUGAGGUGAGCUAAUGACACUCUCCUGCAGCCCACGUGAACUAAUUAAAGCUCUUAAUUAUAUUUUUUAACGCAAAGUGGAAGGUUUUAGGAAACGGAUUCUGUGUUGUUUGCAUUUCUGAACGAAAGCCGCUGAGCAGAAGCAGAGCUGGUCCCCCCAGGAGAGAGCCGAUGGGGGCCGCCAUGGCCUCCCCAGGCCUCCUUCCCCCCAGGAGGCUGAUCCUCCUCCAGCCUUUGUCCUAUAGUGCAGGACGGCAGUCACCUCUGCGUAGAGGCUUUUCUAAUUUGCACACUGCACCAGGCCUCAUUUACUCUCUCCCUGGGGGUGGGAAGGAUGGUGGUAGAGGGUGGAGACCUCAGGGCCCAGACACACAUUUGCUCAGUUCACAGGGCAAACUGCCAAGCACUGUGCCAAGUGGUGGGGAUCCGGAGGUGCACCCGUGGCCUGGAGGAGUGGACAGAGCUGUGCAGAGCCCGGCGCAAGCAGGGCUGCCCAGGCUGCCGCAGAGGCUGGAAUCAGGCUGGGGACAGGGGUGGGGACUGAAGCAAAAGUGGUCAGCUCAAGUCAUCUUCACUGACUGUGCCCUCCUCCGCCUCACUCUCCCCUCCCCACCUUCCCCUCCCCACCUCUCCCUCUCCCCCCCUCCUCCCUUCCUGCUCCCCUCUUCAUCCCCAUCUUCCUCUCCUCUCAGACCUCCCCCUCUUCCUCCCUCUUUGGAGGACCCCUGUCCUCCUACACUGCAGGCACCUUGUGGUGUGAGCCACAUCUCCCUUCACCAUUUGCACACCUGGCACAGGUCUUUGGAAUGGAGAAAAUGCUCAUUACUUCACAGAAAGAAUAAAUCAGAUGUAACCUUUGGGGAAGUGGCAAAUGAAGUCUGGGAUGCAUACAGUUCGGAAAAUAACUGAAGGAGGACCGGAAAAGUUAUGCAGGCCCCUGGAAUGGUGCACUGGGGAGCAGGGUAAGGGACAGGGACCCAGAGACACAGGCAGGACCUACCUGGCAAGUGCAGUCACAGGUCAGACUCUGAGGGUGGAGUGACAUACGGUGAGAAAAAUCUGGGGCUCCGAGUCUGCAAGCAAUGUCACCGGGGUCCUUCAUCCACCUGGAUGCUGGGAUAAAACAGGGACAUCACCUGCCUGGCCAAGCUCACCGUCUAAGUGGGGGUGAAUGGCAAAGCCACAAAAUGCCUGAGACCUUCUUACAACAAACACGGACUCUGGGUUACCUUCUCGCUGGCCCACAGCUGGUGACUAAAAGGGAAGAGACAAAAGAGGCCUGGAAGUCCCCUGUGGGAGCCCCAGUCCACAGAACUCCUCCUCACUACAUGUACCAGUAAGUGACGGAGAUGUGUGCUCAGGUGAGCACACGGAGGGGGUGACGGAGACGUGCGCUCAGGUGAGCACACGGAGGGAGUAAUGGAGACGUGCACUUAGGUGAGCACACAGUGGGCUAUGAUGAAGACGUGCGCUCAGGUGAGUAGACACACCUACUAAGAGGAACAGCCUACUUGUGUGGAGUAUGAGAGUGAGGGGCGAAACCACAGGGGUGAUGAGCCUGGGAUUCAGGAACUGGUGCCACAGAAGGAAGACUGGAAGCCAAAUUCCAAGUGUGGGCGUGGGCAGAGCAGUAAUAGGGACAUGGAUUAUAGCUCUUAGUUGGGAAAGUUUAGAAGUGAGAACAGAAAAGCCAUUUCAUGAAAGGACCAAAAUCGAGAGCUGCUUGAGGAGUGUCUUUUCCUGAGUUGAAUCAGAGAAGGAACAGGCUGUCUCUAGAGAGAAAGGUCCGGCCACUGAGAAGGAGGGAACAAAGCUGAGGUUUUCCCAAUCUUUGGGUAAUAUGGGGAGAUGCAAGCAUCUGGCCCAGGAUGGAAGCUGUAGCUGCUGGGAACUGAGGAAGCAUGCAUCAGAGUUUCAAUUUUCUCCCUGCCAGAGGGUGAGGAGAACUGGGGAAGGAUUGGGGUUGAGGGAUGUGAAGAGUCUUGUGUAACAAGUCAACCAGAGAGGAAUGGCUGGGACUGGUAGGUAUACCAGAUGUUCGUUUCCUUUUUCACAUUGUUUAGUUAUCUCCACUGUUAGAGGUGCAACUGGACCAUUCAACCAGGUGGACAAACAGACAUAAAAUAGCCAACAUAGCUCCUGUGUGAUGAGAGGCUGGAUGGGAAGGAGCCAGGGGUACACUUCUUAAGACAUCACAGAGUCCUUCAGGGGUGGCCAUUAAAAUAGGUUUUUGUUCUUGAAACCUGGUUACAAUGAAUACAGUAUUCAAUGAAUAUCUCUAAGGAGAAUGAACAAUGCCAUCAUCAUUUAAUUUACUAGUCCAACCUCUGAGAUUUGUCAUUAACAUAGGUUUGGCUCAAAUACCCAGGGAAAUAAAUGCUCAGGGGAUGUGGUUGGGUGGGUCCACUGGAGCUAGAGUUGUACCUUGAGAAGGAUGCUCUGGAAAACAGUAAGAGAAUGAGGAGAAGGGAGGCCAGCAGGCUUCCAGAAACAGGACUGAGCAUGUAGGCAGGCACUGCAGGCUGUAAGAAAUUCUUCACUAGAGCAACAGCCUUCACCACCCCGUGCCGGCUCUCAUGGCUGCCGGAAGAGGCUCGGAUUCCAGAGUGGACUUCCCAUAGCAAUGCCAGCAAGGCGGGAAAUGAUUAACAAGCAUGGCUCUGUCCCCUUGAAUUACGUAUCUAGACAGAUGUGGCUGGGAUACAAUGUGCUUGAAAAUAUUUUUUAAUAAUUACCUGAGUGAAGUCCCAAGGACCUAUUAGACGUAAUCUAUGUAAAUGUCAACGCCAUUCAUCUUUAGUGAGAAAACAAAACCUUUUGGCAUUAUAAGUCUUUGGAAUUAUAGAAGGCAUUGGUUGAUAUUCUGUCAUUUUCAAAACCAAAUAAGGAAAGGCCAUUAAAAAACUGAAUUCGAUAUAAUUUCCCUGGCCCCGGUCUCCGAAAAUGCACCGCCACCAUCUGUAACUGCGGCUGGUUAGUUAGUAGCAAUGUCACCACAGUGAUGAAUAGCUCGAUAACACCAUGCCAGCUGGCAAAACACAUUUUGGGGAUUCAGGCUGUGUAACUUAGAUCAAAAAAUUAUGAAGAUAGAUAGCAUGAUAGGAAGAUAGAAGAGAAUUUUUGAUAAGAUGCUAGGAAUUCAGAGUUUUGUAUUGUUUAUUUUUUUCCAGUGGUGGGAAAAGAAGGUGUUGGCACAUUAGGAGAGGCAACAGAGCGUGCAGGCAAUAUUAUCAGUGGAGUUAGAAACCCUGGACGUGGGCUUCCGUGUACCUCUGACGGGUUCCAGCCCCUCCCCACCUCCACAAACCACAGCCCCAAUUUCCUCACCAGAAAGCCUGAUUCCCCGGGAGUUUGGGGGAAGAGUAAAGAGCUGUCCAGAUAACUAGAACGCUGUUCACAGGAGCUGUACCUCCACCUUCUUCAUCCUCACGAUGUCGUAAAUCUAUUAAGAGAAGGAAUUAACUGAGUUCCAAAUAUAACCCACGUGGUCAGUUAACUAUCACCAAAUCCAUAGGAAGAUGUGGGCCAACAGUUACCAAGAUCGUAAAUGUGAUGUCAGUGUCCAUGACUAGGAGUUUUGAGUAAGUUGUGUUUGUUUGUACAAAGCUGGUGACUUAUCCAUAAGCCAUUGAGUGUGUACAGAUGGCUAUUUCCUAACGAAGACAUUCAUUCGACAUCUUAUGAUAAUUUUUGAGCAACUACCAUGCAUCAGGCAGGAUUUUAGCUUAGGAAAUACUAUCGCCAGGGGGAAGAUAGAAAAAGAAAAAAGUCCUUAACCAUCGGGUGUGAAUCACUCUCCACUUUUUGUAUAAUUUAUAACUAUAAAUACACAAUUAUUUGAUAUAUAGCUAUAAGUAUAUGCUUUUAACUAUAAAUUUAUAUGAUCAUCACUAUAUAAAUAAUUAUAUGUUUUAAUUUAAUUUAUAAUUUAUUUAUAAAUUAUAUAUAAAUUAUGAACUUCCAUAAUUUACUAGUGAAUUUUGUGUUCUGAGGAAAGUCGUUUAUGGGUCCGCCGGGCUGGGUGCUCAUCAGAGUUAAUCACGUGAAAGCCCCGUCUCUAAUUCCGAAAUUCUGAGUCUGCACGUUGAGCGGGUCCCACGGCUCCUGUAAGUUAACCUCAGGUCGAGACGGAGGGGACACCUCGCAGCCUUUGCCUAACACGCCCCAAGUGCUUUUCCUGGCAAAUCUAAUCCCUUACUUGAGUUGGAACAUGAACUUCAGCUUGCUUUCCAAAAUUCCAUUCUGCUUGUUUUGUCGCUUCCCAAAGAGCAAGCAACAUGUCCUGUGGAAACCGCCAUCACGGCCUUGAGACCGUCUUCCUACCCCAUAGAGCAAGACUACGGUGCGUGGCUCUCACAGGCAUUCACAGCUUCCCAAGUACAUUUAAAAGAAACACCUAUGUUUAAAUACUGGCAUCGAGCACUGAGAUCCUUGAAAAUAAUGUAUUAGCUAAAGGCAGCGUUAAGAAUUUCAAUUAAUUAUUUUAAUAUUUUAUUUCUUAAUAUGGAAUAUGAUAAUAAGGAAGGUCAAUACUCUUCAUAAGUUGGCAUUUCUAAAUUCUCUGGACUAUGAUAGUUUCCUAAAAAAGUAAAGUGGAAAUGGAAAUGCACAGAGCAACUUGCAGGUGAGUGUGGACACACAGACAAGGGCAGCACAGACCGAGAUUUGCCAGCUCAUUGUCACCUCGGUGUCGUGUGACCUUUCAAACCAACAAGGAAAUGUCUCUCACAGAAAUCAUGCUAUACUUUACUGGCGUAGUCAUUCCCUCGGGGCCUCAGACCCUGCUUAGGAAAACGUCCCCUGCAGGGCCAGCCCGGGUGGCUCUGUCCAGCUGCCCAGGAGCGCUGAGAGGCCCCUCUUGCCCUGUGGCGUCCAGUAGCCACACAAAUUUUUGUUGCCCAAGUUUAGAAAUGAAUCAGGACAGAAGACUGCUCUCUCCACAGGGAGGCUGGCUGUGCCCGCAUGCCUGGCCACCACACAGCCUAGGGCAGGGCAGUGGGCACUCGAUGCUAGGGACUGCUUUCACCCCACGGGUGCCCACAGGAAGCCACCGGCUUCGUCUGCAAGCAAGCCCGGCUGCAGCUUUACUCUGCGGGCCCAGACUCUGCCAUCUUUGUCUCUGCUCCAGGAACACUGGAUGGUUCGGAUGCCCAGGGGCCUCUCCUGGCCUCCUCUGCCACCUGCCGACAGUCUCUCCAGGUCCCUCUACCCUCCCCCGGCUGCAGGAAAGCAUUCAGCGGCAGUGGACUCAGGGCGGUGGCCAGCACGGCACAUGCCCUCUGGCCUGACUGGGGAGGAGGCGCUCCGAGGCUGGCCAUGGCGUUCCCAUGCCACAGAGUCUGCCUCCUUCUCGGGGUCCCGAGAGGGGUUCCCGUCUCCAGGAGGAGAAAAUAAGGGCAAGGUAGUGAUUUUGUGGUGACUGUUGUUUUAAUGCUAAAUUUAAUUCAUUUCAGAGCUUUUCCUUAUUCUUAGCUCCUGUCAUUUCUUGUUUGGGGAGUUAGCAAGUCUUAACGGAGAGGUAGGACCAUGUGAUGUCAAUAUUUCUUUAAUGCACGCUCCUCCUUGGAAAAGGAGGAAAAUUCCUCAGUAGUUCCUUCCAUACCUUGAUUAAUCUCUCCCCAGCACGGCCCUCCACGACAUGGGCCGACACAGGCUUUGGCCUUGAGCUGGUGGGAGUAACUUGGGCAAAUGUGUGAGCAGCCUCCAGUGGGGGAGGGGCGGGGGGCCUGGCAGGGGCCUGCCCCCAGAGACUUUCCUAGAGGCAGGAAUGAUUGGCAGCCCUGAAAGCCAAUCACACUCCUUACCUCAUGGGAGGCCGUUCACUGGACAGCUGGCACCUCCAGCAGUCCUUCAACUCUGACACAGGUGUGCACACACACAUGCAUGCACACUCACACUCACCUGCACACAUAUAUGCAGGCACACACUCACACAUGAGCUCACCCACACACACACAUGCACACACACACACACAAAGGGUCUCCACAGAGGAAAAUGACAGGUCAGUGUCCAAUGAGUACAGAUGCUAGUCCACGAUCUAGAGAAAGGACAGCCCCACCCUCAACUGUGGACCGAGCCAUUUCUGCAAUUGACAUAGAGCCCAGAGAGAAAGUAUAGUUGCCUGGGAGCCAUGAAGUGAUAGAGAUGGUUCUGAAGUGGCUGUUUCCAGGGCACCAGAGAAGUGGAGGCAUGGCGAGGUGGCAGGGGGAGGUGGGGCUGGGGAAUACAAUGAGAGCUGCAGGGGCCCCCUCAAAAUGACAAAAGCUGCCCGAUUGAGGCUCACUCUGGGCGGGGCCCUGCUCAGCCCUGCACUUCACCGUCAGAGAAACCCUGCAGGCAGGCACUGUGUGGCCUGCUGCCCAGAGGAGCAGGCCCAGGCUCAGGCCCAGAAGGGAGGCUGAGCUGGGCCUCCUCCCAGCCCGCAUCAGCCUCGUGCUGACUGUUACAAGCGGUUCCACUGGCACAGCAGUUUGCCCUGCAGAGAAGCAGCCACUGACUGCUGGAGAAUUGCGGUCAUACUCCCCGGACCCUCCUCCACUGGUUGGCCGGGCUUCCAGGUCCUGGCAACCACCCAAUGCUCAGUACACACAGACUCUGGACUCUGCUAUGUUUCCUGUGGUGCAGGCACCUCCUGGAGAGUCCCACCAGGCCCUGCUCUAAACCCACCAGGAUGCAGUCCUCCAGGUUCUCUCACUUUCUCCCAUCAUCCCUCUUCAUACGCCACAUUGAGUCCUGAGACCUUCCCUGCCUGAGGCUGCUUACCCCCACCAUCUCCCAUCCCUGCCUAGAAUUCUUUCCCCCACCACACCUGGGUCUGGCCUUGGGGCAUCCAGUGCCCCAGCCCCAGCCCCUCCAGACUUGUUUUCUAUUUGGGGGGAACUAAGAUGGGAGAACCUCAUCCCAACUGGACCGCCCUGAGCUGCUUGGCUGCAUGUGUCUGCAAAUUAGCUAGACGCUGGUGGUCUACAAGCUCAAAGUAACCCCCACGCCCAGCUGCACUGGAACCCUGUCACUGAGGGUCACUGAGUAGCGGUGCAUGCUUGGCCACGCUCUAUGCCAUCAGGGUGGAUUGUAUGACCAACGUCAUGAGGUUCUUGGGGGGAUUAAAAAGUUUAAAAUAUGGAUUUUAGUGUCUGGCUCAUAAGAAGUACUUAGUAAAGGCUGAGUCCCCAGCCGGGGUCUAAACCUCACACCAGGGCAGAGAUGCUCCCGUCCUGUCUCCGGGGCUCACAGGUGGAAAGGCGCACAUGCUCCAUGAGACGGUCAGCACACAGGCUCCGCAGCUCUGCAUUGCCCAUCAAGUUACUUGGUUCACUGCUCAGAUUUAACAUCCUCAGAUCCUCCUCACCUGAGACAGUCUCCUGCAUAGCAAAGAGCGACCUUCUUCUUAAGAAUCACUGAAAAGGAGAGACUGUCCUCCCCUCACAUUCUCUAAUUCAGAUUGGGAUUUUGGAGGAAAAGACAGAUUAUGAUUUUACAACCUGGACUAGCCAAAUUAUUGCAUAUUCAAAUCUACUUUUGUUGGUAUAAAAAUGGUCUUUCUUCAGAUUUCUUAAAGGAGUCGAGCAGCAGCCACACUGUCUUGCUCCCCUCCUGCCCUCACCUGCCAUUUCUCCAAGCCAGCUUCCAGAAUCAAGAAUUCGCACCAUGGGGACGGCCAUCAGCAGAGACAGCCCUUCAAUGGUCAGUCUUUCCCCAAGUGCUGAAGACUCUUUGAUCAUCCGAAGCUCCCCAGCCAGCAGUCAUGACUGCCUUUCCUGUGGUCCAUACAGGACCCAGAGAACGUUUUACUUUGACUUAAAUACCUGCACUCAUUCUUGGCCACAGAAAAGAUUUUUUUCCUUUAUGCUCACUUCUGUGUGGUGUUCUGGAGUAUAAAUAUGCAUCUCAUUAUCAUAAUUGUCUGGCUUUUAAUAUGGUUUAUCCAAUGUGCAGGUUACUUAUUCUAAAAUCCUUAACAAACUGUUGGAACCCCGUGGCCGGCCAUUCUCGGUAUAAAUGCCUCUAUUGUGAGCAGCAGCAGAAACGCAAAUGGUGGCUAAACAUUGCACUUCGGGCUAUAAUUGGGUUCAAUUAACUUCAGUAAAAUAAAUUCUAGGCAGUAAAAGUUGCAUGCUUUGUGAUAAAAUGACUGUAAGUAGCCAGACAGAUUACUGAGAUGGACGUUUAUGAAAAUCAUGUGGAACCGAUGGUUUAAUUUCACAUUUUCGUUGUCCGCCAGGAAGCAGGUGAUGAUUGCCUAGUGCAGCGAAGUUGGGAAGUCUCAGGGUGCACACAGGAGACCAGAGAGGGAAGGGGCCACUGCAGCCCGAAGCCCCUGACCCUCACCUCUGGUGUGUUCUCUGUGGAGAGAAAAUACGAUGCUGUGUUGACCAUGGUCUCCAGAUAAUAUGUUGCCCCCGUUUCAGCCCAUGGAGGCGUCGUGUCUUCACUCGCAGCCCGACGUAUCACCUCAUUACCGAGUGUCAUUGGACCUGCACACUGGCUGCUUCAUCCUCUCUUUUCAAAACCCAGAAAGGAGCUUUUCCCUCUACUCUAGCGUCAUUUCGGCCCUCAAUGCUGUCAAAGUUAUUUAAACAGAUACAUUGUUCCACUAGGGUUACUUCUACUGAAGGUUUUACAACCAAAUCAAGGAGUCUAUGGAAAGUAAAGUAUAACUCUUUUAAUUGUGAAUUUUGAUCUCUAAAUAUCAAGCUUUCCUAAAUCAGGGCAUAAGUUCUUUAUAUAUUAAAAUUUUUUAUUUAAAAAAAUUCUAACAAAAUGUACUUAGAUCAUUUUCCUUACCCAAAUAUGAGCAUGAAGGAGUAAAUUAACCUCAUAAAACCUCGUAUUUCUAACAUAAAAGUGAUUAGAUCAUGCCAAUGACUCAGUUACUUUUGUGAGAUGAGACUAUGAGACUCUCCUUGGAGGAAGGAGCCGGUAUCUCAGGCAACUAGAUCGAUUUCACAGCUGCACAUGUAUCCUCUCCUGCCGGUGGUCUUAAAGAGAACAUACUAGAAAGCAUCCCUAAAUGUAACCCCAAUGUCCUUAGGAGCUGAGAGUUAGUAAUCUGGAAGGGCUGGACCUAUGGGGGAAUUUAUCAGUGCAAGGACCACCAGUCAAUGGCCAUGUGUCAACUGGAGCUCGGAAGUGACAGCUGUGAAAUUAAAGGUGACUGAUGUGGCCGUUGUGUUCCGAGGGUCAGGGCCACCCAAAACAUGCUGCCAGACGGACACGGGGACAGCCCAUCUGUCUAGAUCCACUGCACCAUGCAGCUUUCCAAGCCCUCCUCAUCAGAUGACCUUCUUUAAAAUGUGUUUGAAAAAGAAAAGCAAGCUAGCUCUCAGAUCGUACAACUGCAUGUUGUCGCCCUUCUGUCAAAACAGUGCACUGUCAGACCUCGCAGAGUCUUGGGCUUUGAAAAUCCAUCUCCUCUGAAUCUGUAUCCCAUAAAUGCAGCUUUUACAAAAUGUAUUAAAUUUGAAGAGGAAAGCCAAUAAUUGCAAUGUUUAAAGAUUCAAUUUAAAUACUAAACAUGGUCAAGAGCAACCCCAGGGGAACCCAGGGGAAGAAUUGGAGCUCUGGUGGAGUCUAAAUCUUGUGUGUUUUCAAUGUUUAAAAGUGAAAAACACGUUUCCCCUCUUCUAAAGGUGUCCGAGCGCCCAGACAACUUGCAGCGAUGACUCCUGAGAUAAGGGUGCCUGGUGAGCUGACCACGGGCGCUGGGCCACGUCUUAGCUGCCUUAAUCUGAGAUACUGCAGCCCUGAGGCCCUGCAUGAAUAUGACCUCUUUCCAAGUGUGCUCUCGAGGUGGGAGGGCACUAGCCAAGGUGGGAAUGGAUUCCUUUCCUUUCUGAAAUAGUGUUUCUCAAAACUGCC